ACCUCAUCCACCUCCUGUAGCUGUCAGUCCUCCCGGACCUCAUCUACCUGCAGCUGUCAGUCCUCUGGGACCUCAUCCACCUCCUGCAUCUGUUGGUCCUCUGGGACCUCAUCCACUUCCUGCAGUGGUAGGUUCUCUGGGACCUCAUCCACCUCCUGCAACUGUAGGUCUUCUGGGACCUCAUCCACCUCCUGAAGCUGUUGGUCCUCUGGGGCCUUAUCCACCUUCUGCAACUGUAGGUCUUCUGGGACCUCAUCCACCUCCUGCAGCUGGUGGUCCUCUCGGACCUCAUCCAUCUCCUGCACCAGUAGGUCCUCUGGGAUCUCAUCCACCUCCUGCAGCUGUUGGUCCUCUGGGACCUCAUCCACCUCCUGCAGCUCCUUGUCCUCCCGGACCUUAUCCAUCUUCUGCAUGUUUCUGUCCUCCGGGACCUCAUCCAUCUUUUAUAGCUGCCUUUCCUCUGGGACAUCAUUCACCUUUUUGUUCUGUGAGGCCUCUGGGACCUCCGACUACAUCUCCACUUAGUAAUCUCUGGAUCCUCAGCCACCCCUUCUACCUGGGUGGCCUCUGGCCCCUCAACUACCACCUUCACAUGAAUCUCCUCAGCUACUUCAAUAAUCUCCACUUGUGGUCCCUGGGACUUCAGCCACCUCCUCCACCAGGGUCUCUUCUAGUACAUCUGCCACCUCCUCCACUUGCCUGGCCUCUGCUAUCUGAACCAACUCCUCUGGGACCUCAACCAGCUCCUCUACCCAUUGUGGCCUGUAAGACCUCAACCACCAACUCCACAUGUACCACUUGGUAUGUUUAU
rnacentral:lncRNA from 1 species